rnacentral:misc_RNA from 1 species
UUGACGCGGAAACAGAUCCGAGAAGAACGGCAGAAUCGAGGCGAGCGAACCACCACGAGCAUCACACUACGGGGUGCACCUCCGUGGGAGAGUGCGCAGGGGAGAGUACUGCGCGGAUUGGUCCUGUGCGGCUGUCUAGAUGCGAGACAGCGAGAGGGGCGGCAGUGCAGGGGGCCGCGCUGCCGUAGGCUCAAUAACGUUCAUGUGUGCGCUCGUAAACGCAGAGCGCACAUCCUUUCCUAGACGCGCGUGAGUGUGCCGCAACAUUCGUACAAGGGGAAGGGGGUUGGAAUAGAUGCCCAAAGUCCGCGGAGAGGAGGGCAUCGGGGUGUACCUCCGCAUCCGACCGCCGCCGACAUCGCAGCAGAGUCGCCUGCUCGCCACCGGCGGCGGCGGCACCGCGGCAGCCUCCAGCCCAUUCGAGGCAGCGCGAGGGACCGGCCAGCCGCCGGCUACCUUUCAGUACGAAGUGGAAGAGGACUUUCAAAGGUCGAUCUUGCACCUGCACACCGCGCAGCGACUCGUGCAGGAUGCGCAGCGGGGGACGACAGGUCCGUCGCCGUUGCCGCCGUCCUCAGUCCCAGCGAACAGCCCACGCGGUGGUGGCGGCAGCACCACCCAUGCCGCUGGUAUCGACGACGUCGUGAACAACACCGUCGUUGACUUUCAGUACCGCUUCGACCGCGUUUUCAAGCCGAGCGCAACGCAAGAAGACGUCUUCGCCACCGUCGCGAAGGGCUGCGUUGAGUCGGUGCUGGAUGGCAUGAACAGCACCGUCUUUGCCUACGGCCAGACGGGCAGCGGCAAGACGUACAGCAUCACGGGCGGGACAGAGAGCUACCAAGAUCGAGGUCUCAUCCCACGCGCGAUGGCCAUGAUCUACGAGGAAGUGGCACGGCGACGCGAGGGCGGAGGUCGACACCUGCGCCGCAGCAGCAGCGCCGAGGCCGCAGGUGAUGACGGCCACCACGCCAGCGAUGACGAUGCUAGUGGCGGCGGUGCCACGACGUACACCAUCACCAUGUCCUACCUUCAGAUCUACAACGACAAGGGGCAAGACCUGCUCAACCACGGGCGCGACGCGCGCACGCUGGAGGAGCUGCCGGCCGUCACGAUACACGAGAUGGAGGACGACAUUAUGCUCAAGGGGCUCGAGCAGCACAGCGCCCCAACGCUGGCAGACGCCCUGAACCUUCUGUUCCUCGGCGACACGAACCGCCUGUACUGCGAGACGCCCAUGAACAAGACGUCGUCACGCUCGCACUGCAUCUUUACCAUCUAUCUGGAGGCCCGCUCCGCUUCUUCUUCCGUCGUGCGUCGCUCCAAGCUGAACCUCGUCGAUCUCGCCGGAAGCGAGCGCGUGAGCAAGACAGGCGUCUCGGGCACGAUCUUGACGGAGGCGAAGCACAUCAACCUCUCUCUCCACUUCCUCGAGCAAGUCAUCGUCGCGCUCAGCGAGAAGGCGAAGGGGGUACGCGAUCACGUGCCGUAUCGCAACUCGUUUCUCACGAUGGUGCUGCGCGACAGCCUCGGUCGCAACUGCAAGACAGUCAUGCUCGCCACGGCGCACGUCGUUGCCUCGCAGGUGGCGGAGACGAUGAGCACAUGCCAGUUUGCGCAGCGCGUCGCAUUGAUCCAGCAGGCACCGCAGGUGAACGUGGAGACGGACCCGGUGCUGCUCGUGCGCAGGCUGCGCGCGGAGGUGGCACAGCUCAAGGACGAAGUCGCCUACCUCCGCGCGAACGGCGGCGGCAGUGGUGCGGCGUCACUGGCGGCCGACCGCACGCUGACGGCGGAUGAAAAGAACGUAUGCCGCGGCAUGGUCGAUGCGUACAUCCAGAAGGCUGCUGUGGAUGGCGAUUGGAGCUCCCGCCUCACCGGCCUUAACGGGGACAUGGCUCGUAUAUACUGCUGCUAUGAGAUUCUACGCGAGCGUCUCGUGCGCGGUGGCGGUGGCGUGCCCCACGAUACGCAGCAACAGCGGCAGCAGAAGCAGCGGCUGGAAGACAGCGAAGCGCAGGUGACGGCACUGCGGCACACUCUGCAGCUCAAGGAAAACGAGCUGCAGAUGUUAUUGACGGUGCUCAAGAAGGCGGGGCACGCUGACGCGACGAGCAGCGUUGGCGGGGCGGGCGGCGGCGCAAGCCUCUGUGCCGCCGGUAUGCGGUACAACGCCGUUGCGCAGACACCUCACAGCGACGGAGGCGCCAUCAGCGGCAGCGGAGAGGCGAAAGGUGUGGCGGGUGUGCCCUUUAUUUUCACGAUAUCGCGAAGCAGCUCCGGAAGUCGGAGUGCGAACGUCGGUGACGUGCAGAACGACGAGCAGCAGCAGGCCGAGCUCUCGCUGAGGCGGAACAUCUACCGUGACGCUCAGCAACUAGUUGCUCAGUUGCGCCGGUCAGCUGGCGCAGCUCUCACGCAAGCCACGGCAGCUGCAGCGCCACCGCACGCGGAGAGUACAGUCGAGGCGGCGCUGGCCCGUGUCACCACCCUUGCACAGCAAGGUCAGUUCACUGAGGCCGAGGUUGCAGUCGCCACGGAGUUCCUCGAGAGCAAGCGUGAGUACCAGCAGCACGUCGCGAACUUGCACGAGCGCGGCGAAGGGGACAAGAACAACGGGGGCGGCAGCGGCAGCGGCAGUGGUGCUGGUGGUGGUGACGCCCGCACUGCGGUGGACGUGCUGAUGGACGAGCAGUUUCUGCAGAACCGCGCGCAGGCGCUGGAGGCGUUCAAGGCCUCCUACGAGGCGCAGCACAAGGUGGAGGAGACAAAGCAGCUGCUCCGGCCCACGUACGCAGCGUGCAAGGCCACGGCGCAGCAGCUCAACGCCUGCGUAGACGCCAUUAAACAGCUGAAAACCAAGAUCCAGCGCCGGCGAGCCGAGCGGGCGGCGGACGGCAGCGAUGUCGUAGACGCCGAGGAAGCCGCGUGGCUGGCGGAGCUGAGCUCUAUGAAAGAGCGCUACAACGUUCACGCGGCGCAGCUGCGGCACGACAAGGAGGAAAUCGACGGCAUGCAUGCCUAUCUCAAGCACGCACAGGAGCAGCUGGUGCGCGACUUUGAGCGCUGGUUCAGCGCGCGGCAGCAGCAGGUGCAGCUGGCUGUGCAGCAGCAAGAGCUGCACGCGCAGCGCCGGCACGAGGAAGAGAAACGAGCGGAGCUGACAGAUGGCUUGCGAGCGGCCCUCGGGGUAUCGCCAACCAACGUUCCGUUGUCCGAGAAGCCAGGCCCGACCAUGUGCGUCACGCCGCCACCGUCGCCGCGUGGCGACACGGGUUACACUGCGAGCUCAAUCACGAGUAGCCAGUGCGGCAGCAGCCUGCCCUUCUCGCCACUAUUCUCGGCCGCUCAGCGACAACGCCCCUACGCGCACUCGGCCUCCGACUCCAUGAUCGCAGCGCCGUGCCUGCCCAACACGAGCGGCAGUGGCGGGUUGUCAGCAGUGCUGUUGCCAUCCACCACGCAGGCGCCUGUGCGCGGUGAGCACCACUCCUCGUCGGUGCCGACACUCUCUCUGACUACACCGUCCGCGCGGCUGGCGAUGACGGUGAAAGAUGGACAGCUGCACUCUGCGGACGUGGCCUUGGCACGCCUAUCGUUGUCGCCUACGGUGCAGCGAGACGGCUCCAGCACAUCGCCACCGGCUACCUCGCCAGGGCUCACGGGGCCAGCGCAGAACGGCUGGACAACAGCGAAGGCGAGCACCACGUUGAUGAUGGGUGGCGGUACGGAAACCACACCGAGCCCGACGCGGCCGUUCCAUCUCCUCCCUCUUGGCGACACCACCACCACCAACACGACCGCCAACGGCACGGCCUCGUCUGUCGCCCCCGCCGGCAGCGCCGCCUCUGCCAACAAGAAGCCGAGCAACCCGUACUUCCCGCUGUUCCCGUCCACCGGGAACGCCGCGGCGGAUGCACAGCUGGCGGAGCUCUACAAGGCGAGAGAGGCCAUGCGCAAGCAGUUCCAGUGAAGCGCGGGAGACACACUGGAAUGGGGAGGAGGGCGAGCGGCACCUGCGCCAGCGUCAGUGCUUCCCUUCCUGGCUCCCCCCCUUACCUCCACCACCACCAUCAACCACCCAUAGCAAUCCUCGUUGCUCCCUCCCAAUGCGGACGCGCGUGUGCGGCAUUAGACCGGUGGGCAUGUAUGCAUGCACGUGUAUCUGCCCCGCCGCACUGACGCGGCUCUAUUUCUUCCCCCGUUGCUGUCGGUGUGGCACUCGUGUCCAUCCUAUUCAUUGUUCCUGUCGUGCAUCGGCGCUCAUCUUCGCACUCUGC